rnacentral:rRNA from 1 species
ACGAACGCUGGCGGCGUGCUUAACACAUGCAAGUCGAACGGUGAAGCGCCUUCCUUUUUGGUGGGUGUGGAUGAGUGGCGAACGGGUGAGUAACACGUGAGUAACCUGCCCCCUUCUUCUGGAUAACCGCAUGAAAGUGUGGCUAAUACGGGAUAUUCUGGGUCUGUCGCAUGAUGGGUCUGGGAAAGAUAUUGUUUCGGUGGGGGAUGGGCUCGCGGCCUAUCAGCUUGUUGGUGGGGUGAUGGCCUACCAAGGCGGUGACGGGUAGCCGGCCUGAGAGGGUGGACGGUCACACUGGGACUGAGACACGGCCCAGACUCCGACGGGAGGCAGCAGUGGAGAAUACUGCACAAGGGGCGCAAGGCUGAUGCAGCGACGCCGCGUGGGGGAUGGAGGCCUGCGGGUUGUGAACCUCUUUCGCCAGUGAAGCAGGGCUGCCUCGUUUGUGGGUGGGUUGACGGUAGCUGGAGAAGAAGCGCCGGCUAACUACGUG